rnacentral:sRNA from 1 species
AGACGGAAGAUGAGGCGUCCUCCGCCACGAU